UACGUAGGGGGCUAGCGUUGUCCGGAUUCAUUGGGCGUAAAGGGUGCGUAGGUGGCGCUGUAAGUCGGGUGUGAAAUCUCGGAGCUUAACUCCGAAACUGCAUUCGAUACUGCCGUGCUUGAGGACUGGAGAGGAGACUGGAAUUUACGGUGUAGCGGUGAAAUGCGUAGAUAUCGUAAGGAAGACCAGUGGCGAAGGCGGGUCUCUGGACAGUUCCUGACGCUGAGGCACGAAGGUCAGGGGAGCAAACGGG
rnacentral:rRNA from 1 species